GCACAUAUGGUGUAGUGGUAACAUGCACGGAAUAAAUCAAAGGCAAUUCUUGGUCUCUGUGUGUCCCGUGUUCAAUUCGCGGUGUGUGCU